AACACAGACCUGUGGUUCAUUCAUCCGUGCAUAAGUAUCCCUAGGGCCACCUAAACAAGCAGCACAACCAGGACUUGCUGGUGUAUCGCACCCAGCUUCCUCAAAUAUCUGAGAGCAAGUUUUACCACCAGCUCCAGGUACUGGGAUACUAUAUAAAUCCAUCCAAACCUUUUGAGUGGCAGGGACAAUAAACGUAGGAACUUUAACCUUCUUUCCUGCAGCAAGAAAAACUUUAGCCAAGGCCAGAAAAUCCUCUGUCUUUCCCCCAGUACAAGAUCCAACGUAUACUCUAUCAAUUUUCACAUCUUUACAUUCCCUUGCUAAAGCACGGUUAUCUGGAGAAUGGGGCUUAGCUACCACAGG
rnacentral:misc_RNA from 1 species